GAUGAACGCUGGCGGCGUGCCUAAUACAUGCAAGUCGAGCGAACAGACGAGGAGCUUGCUCCUUUGACGUUAGCGGCGGACGGGUGAGUAACACGUGGAUAACCUACCUAUAAGACUGGGAUAACUUCGGGAACCGGAGCUAAUACCGGAUAAUAUAUUGAACCGCAUGGUUCAAUAGUGAAAGACGGUUUUGCUGUCACUUAUAGAUGGAUCCGCGCCGCAUUAGCUAGUUGGUAAGGUAACGGCUUACCAAGGCAACGAUGCGUAGCCGACCUGAGAGGGUGAUCGGCCACACUGGAACUGAGAUACGGUCCAGACUCCUACGGGAGGCAGCAGUAGGGAAUCUUCCGCAAUGGGCGAAAGCCUGACGGAGCAACGCCGCGUGAGUGAUGAAGGUCUUCGGAUCGUAAAACUCUGUUAUUAGGGAAGAACAAAUGUGUAAGUAACUAUGCACGUCUUGACGGUACCUAAUCAGAAAGCCACGGCUAACUACGUG
rnacentral:rRNA from 1 species